rnacentral:rRNA from 1 species
ACGGGUGAGUAACACGUAUCCAACCUGCCGUCUACUCUUGGCCAGCCUUCUGAAAGGAAGAUUAAUCCAGGAUGGGAUCAUGAGUUCACAUGUCCGCAUGAUUAAAGGUAUUUUCCGGUAGACGAUGGGGAUGCGUUCCAUUAGAUAGUAGGCGGGGUAACGGCCCACCUAGUCAACGAUGGAUAGGGGUUCUGAGAGGAAGGUCCCCCACAUUGGAACUGAGACACGGUCCAAACUCCUACGGGAGGCAGCAGUGAGGAAUAUUGGUCAAUGGGCGAUGGCCUGAACCAGCCAAGUAGCGUGAAGGAUGACUGCCCUAUGGGUUGUAAACUUCUUUUACAAAGGAAUAAAGUCGGGUAUGCAUACCCGUUUGCAUGUACUUUAUGAAUAAGGAUCGGCUAACUCCGUGCCAGCAGCCGCGGUAAUACGGAGGAUCCGAGCGUUAUCCGGAUUUAUUGGGUUUAAAGGGAGCGUAGAUGGAUGUUUAAGUCAGUUGUGAAAGUUUGCGGCUCAACCGUAAAAUUGCAGUUGAUACUGGAUGUCUUGAGUGCAGUUGAGGCAGGCGGAAUUCGUGGUGUAGCGGUGAAAUGCUUAGAUAUCACGAA